rnacentral:rRNA from 1 species
AUUGAACGCUGGCGGAAUGCUUUACACAUGCAAGUCGAACGGUAGAGGGGGCAACCCCUCGAGAGUGGCGAACGGGUGAGUAAUAUAUCGGAACGUGCCCAGUCGUGGGGGAUAACGUAGCGAAAGUUACGCUAAUACCGCAUACGAUCUACGGAUGAAAGCGGGGGAUCGCAAGACCUCGCGCGAUUGGAGCGGCCGAUAUCAGAUUAGGUAGUUGGUGGGGUAAAGGCUCACCAAGCCAACGAUCUGUAGCUGGUCUGAGAGGACGACCAGCCACACUGGAACUGAGACACGGUCCAGACUCCUACGGGAGGCAGCAGUGGGGAAUUUUGGACAAUGGACGCAAGUCUGAUCCAGCCAUUCCGCGUGCAGGAUGAAGGCCCUCGGGUUGUAAACUGCUUUUGUACGGAACGAAAAGGGUUUCUAUUAAUACUAGGAGCUCAUGACGGUACCGUAAGAAUAAGCACCGGCUAACUACGUG